rnacentral:rRNA from 1 species
AUACGGAGGGUGCAAGCGUUACUCGGAAUCACUGGGCGUAAAGCGCGCGCAGGCGGUCUUUUAAGUUGGAUGUGAAAGCCUACGGCUCAACCGUAGAACUGCAUCCAAAACUAUUAGACUAGAGUGUGUGAGAGGAAGAUGGAAUUAGUUGUGUAGGGGUAAAAUCCGUAGAGAUAACUAGGAAUACCAAAAGCGAAGGCAAUCUUCUGGAACACUACUGACGCUGAGGCGCGAAAGCGUGGGGAGCAAACAGGAUUAGAAACCCUAGUAGUCC